UUGGAGGAAUUGGCAGAGCCACAAACGCUUGCUCUUUGCUUAAUGCCGUUAAAGAUAUUUAAUCCAAAGACCUCAUUCUUGCAGAGGUUCCCACAGUUCAAAGACCAGGACAAGGCUUUCUCUGCUCUUAUUGGAAUUAAUUGCUCAUAUUCCCCUCCCUGAAUCUCAUGAAGUGUCAGACUUAAAGAUCUGACUUCUGUCCCUUAAUCAGCC